rnacentral:rRNA from 1 species
GCCUAAUACAUGCAAGUCGAACGCUUCUUUUUCCACCGGAGCUUGCUCCACCGGAAAAAGAGGAGUGGCGAACGGGUGAGUAACACGUGGGUAACCUGCCCAUCAGAAGGGGAUAACACUUGGAAACAGGUGCUAAUACCGUAUAACAAUCGAAACCGCAUGGUUUUGAUUUGAAAGGCGCUUUCGGGUGUCGCUGAUGGAUGGACCCGCGGUGCAUUAGCUAGUUGGUGAGGUAACGGCUCACCAAGGCGACGAUGCAUAGCCGACCUGAGAGGGUGAUCGGCCACAUUGGGACUGAGACACGGCCCAAACUCCUACGGGAGGCAGCAGUAGGGAAUCUUCGGCAAUGGACGAAAGUCUGACCGAGCAACGCCGCGUGAGUGAAGAAGGUUUUCGGAUCGUAAAACUCUGUUGUUAGAGAAGAAUANGGNNGAGAGUAACUGUUCAUCCCUUGACGGUAUCUAACCAGAAAGCCACGGCUAACUACGUGCCAGCAGCCGCGGUAAUACGUAGGUGGCAAGCGUUGUCCGGAUUUAUUGGGCGUAAAGCGAGCGCAGGCGGUUUUCUUAAGUCUGAUGUGAAAGCCCCCGGCUCAACCGGGGAGGGUCAUUGGAAACUGGGAGACUUGAGUGCAGAAGAGGAGAGUGGAAUUCCAUGUGUAGCGGUGAAAUGCGUAGAUAUAUGGAGGAACACCAGUGGCGAAAGGCGGCUCUCUGGUCUGUAACUGACGCUGAGGCUCGAAAGCGUGGGGAGCAAACAGGAUUAGAUACCCUGGUAGUCCACGCCGUAAACGAUGAGUGCUAAGUGUUGGAGGGUUUCCGCCCUUCAGUGCUGCAGCUAACGCAUUAAGCACUCCGCCUGGGGAGUACGACCGCAAGGUUGAAACUCAAAGGAAUUGACGGGGGCCCGCACAAGCGGUGGAGCAUGUGGUUUAAUUCGAAGCAACGCGAAGAACCUUACCAGGUCUUGACAUCCUUUGACCACUCUAGAGAUAGAGCUUCCCCUUCGGGGGCAAAGUGACAGGUGGUGCAUGGUUGUCGUCAGCUCGUGUCGUGAGAUGUUGGGUUAAGUCCCGCAACGAGCGCAACCCUUAUUGUUAGUUGCCAUCAUUUAGUUGGGCACUCUAGCAAGACUGCCGGUGACAAACCGGAGGAAGGUGGGGAUGACGUCAAAUCAUCAUGCCCCUUAUGACCUGGGCUACACACGUGCUACAAUGGGAAGUACAACGAGUCGCAAAGUCGCGAGGCUAAGCUAAUCUCUUAAAGCUUCUCUCAGUUCGGAUUGUAGGCUGCAACUCGCCUACAUGAAGCCGGAAUCGCUAGUAAUCGCGGAUCAGCACGCCGCGGUGAAUACGUUCCCGGGCCUUGUACACACCGCCCGUCACACCACGAGAGUUUGUAACACCCGAAGUCGGUGAGGUAACCUUUUGGAGCCAGCCGCCUAAGGNGGA